UACGAGGGGUGCAAGCGUUGCUCGGAAUUAUUGGGCGUAAAGAGCGUGUAGGCGGCCAGGUAGGUCGGUUGUGAAAACUGGAGGCUCAACCUCCAGACGUCGACCGAAACCAUCUGGCUAGAGUCCGGAAGAGGAGAGUGGAAUUCCUGGUGUAGCGGUGGAAUGCGCAGAUAUCAGGAGGAACACCGAUGGCGAAGGCAGCCCCCCUGGGCUAACACUGACGCUCAGGCACGAAAGCGUGGGGGAGCAAACAGGG
rnacentral:rRNA from 1 species